UGACGGACAGCUGGAUGUUCUUUCCGUUGGACAGAACGACGCCAGAGGGUCCAGCGGCGGCAACAGUUACACCAGGUUCGAACUGGAUCAGCUGGCCGUCACUGGUGACGAUUCCUGAGGCUCCCACCAGAUGGCCAUAGGUGUCACGCUUACGUCUGCCGGACAGCUGGAUGUUCUUUCCAUUGGACAGAACGACUCCAGAGGGUCCAGCGGAGGCAACAGUUACACCAGGUUCGAACUGGAUCAGCUGGCCGUCACUGGUGACGAUUCCUGAGGCUCCCACAAGAUGGCCAUAGGUGUCACGCUUCUGGACGAAGUGGAGGUCGUCGGUCAGCUGGAUGUUGGAGCCGUCCUUGGUGACGAUGCC